GUAGCUCUCUCAAUGUUUCUCAGUAAAUGAUUUUAAAAUAUGGAAGUGAAAGCAGCACAUCUUAAAUAUUACACACAUAACCGUACAAUAUGGAUAAAAGUAAUGUACAACUACAAACAAUUCAUCUAGACAUGGGAAAAUACAUUUUGUACAUUUUUAAAUGUAACUUGUAUUAUAAGUCACAUGGAAAUCAUGUGAGUAUAAACAUAGAGGAUUGUGUAUAAUAAGCCCUAUAACAGUUAGGCUGUAAUGCAGAGGUUCCAAGCCCAGAGAGUCCUGCUCAUUACACAUUACCAUCUGUAUCCGCUGAUUAAGCAGUAGUGUUUUCUCCCUUAUGGCACUCACAAUUACAAAAAGGGGGUAAUGGGAUGUGAUAUCACUUCCUGUCACUUUAAUCCUAUGCUAAUAAUACUGGGGUACAAUACACAAAGGGGGAUGCAGUAAUAAAAACAUCUGAUACAUAUGAAUAGAUGGCUGCGGAUAACUCUCAGCAUGCAUCCUAUGACACUAACUCAAGGAGGGAGUGGGGGGGACCGGUUGACAUUUUGGCUCUGAUAAAGGUAAAGUAGACAUACACUCACUCUGCCCUAUAUAAUACAGUGAGAAAUUUCCACAGACCUAUAUGUGGGUAUAUGUCUUCCAUUACCCAGUGAAACACAAACUUAAUAAUACUGCUGACACCCAUAGCCCACAUGUGCAAGGUCUAGGCUGUAUGGAUCUUCCACAUUAUUAUUAUUAAUAUUAUUAUGUUAUUUAUAUAGCGCCAUCAAAUUCCGCAGCGCUUUACAAUGGAUGGACGAACAGACAUGUGAAGUUAUAGCCAAAUAAUCAAAUGUUUCUUUCCCUCCCCCAAAUAAGAUAAUAGUACACCCUUAAAAUGCCACAUGGGAAGCGAAAACACAUACGGUUGUACAGACUUUCAGCUGUUUGCCAUGAGCAAAUAAAACAAAAGCAAUUGAAAUAGCUCAACACAAUGAAUGCU